rnacentral:lncRNA from 1 species
UUCCUCAUCACCACCCAAAUUCCAUUUCCGGCCAGCUUCAACCAGCAAAUGACCACCAAACCACCAGUGCUCACCCCUCUUUUCGUUUCCAGCAACAAUCCAGCCACCACCAAAGACCAAAAGCCACCGGAAACAACCAUUAACAACAACCAAACAACCUCGGAGAAACUCCAACCCAACAAACCACCUCUGUUCACCUCUUUUUCUGGCUAAACUCACUCUUGGAGUAGUCAUGAACAAUGACCAUACAACUCAACCCAGCCCUUCAAUUUUCUCCUUUCCAGCGAAAGCAGACCCAUCGCAGCCCUAAAACGCCCAAAAACCCACCAGAUCUCCCCUCAAAUCACCACCUCCAUUCACCAUUUUCUCCGACCUCACAACCAGCGACCAAACAGACCUUCAACCACCUUAAAACAACCAGACCAACCACCAAAUGCCACCACCCUUUUCCGGCGAAAAACAACCAGAAAAUAGAAACCAACAACCACACAAACACCUCCAAACAGCCGCCUCAAACCACAAUAUCACCACCAGGCGAGCUUCAAGCUCAGGUGAACUCCAAACGAAACCACCACCAAAGGCAGCAGCUCCCUUCAUCCUUUCCAUCUCCGAACUCCAAGCCCAACCAGAAAACGCCAUUCCGGAGAAGGAGAACGAAGCUCGAACAACAGCAACCAAACACGACCCCGUCGUGAUUCCAACUCCGGCGAGGCUCCAUAAGAAACAAUUUCAACCACGCAAAAUAACCGGAUCUGGCCGGAAAAGAUCUCCCUCCGGUAACCUUCCUAAAUUUAUACUUUUCAUAUCUAUCCGUACAUAUUUUUAGCUUUCUGUUUGCAAUUUUUUUUUUAAUUCUAUUCUCAUUUUUAUUGUUGUCGUUCUUUCAUAUUGUUGAUUAUUAACAUGUUAGUGUUAAAUUCAUUUUGUUUUUUCAUAGUUUAUUAUAGGAAAAAUUACGCGGUUAAGCAAACUUAUACUAUUUAAUUACUCAUCAUAGCUAUAGUUUGCUAGAAUUACCACUCACGACUAACAUUAUACAUUAAUUACCGGGCUGACUUCGAGUUUGUAUAAUUAGCCACGUUUGUAUAUGUAUAAUUCGCCAGAAUAUACAAAUACAUAUGUAUAAUAGACAAUUAUCUAACAUAUAUACAUAUACAAUUCACCUCUCUCCCACUCUCCUUCCUCUCCCAAUCUCGCUUGCCAUAUAUACAGAUGCAUAUGUGUAAUAUACAAUUAUCUAACCUAUAUACAUAUACAAUUCACCUCUCUCCCACUCUCUUCCCUCUCUCGCUCGUCUCUCUCCUCCCUCUCCCAAUCUCGCUUUCCUCUCUCCUUCCUCUCCAAAUCUCGCUUGCCAUAUAUACAAAUACAUAUGUAUAAUAUACAAUUAUCUAACCUAUAUACAUAUACAAUUCACCCUUCUCCCACUCUUUGCCCCCUCUCUCUCGCCUCUCUUCUCGCUCUCUCCCAGUCUCGCUCGCCUCUCUCCUCCCUAUAGCAUAUAGCUACGAAUUGUAAUUAUCAAACUAUAGCUAUGGAGAGUAAUUGAGCUAUUUUUGAGCUUCUAUCUGUGAAAGUUUCCCUUUAUUAUAUAUAUAUAUAUAUAUAUAUAUAUAUUAAUUGUUUAUCCGUAUUGCUUACUUUUGUUAACAUUAAUUGUUCUUAACCUACUAUAGUUAGUUGAAUACAUUUUUAAAUAUUUCCCAUAGGUUGUGUGUUAUUUUAUCAUCAUGUGGUUAUUAUUAUUUUUAAUUGUUGUUACCGUUUUGUAUUGUGGUAGCUAAAUAUGUUGUGUUAAGCUAGAUUUAAUCUUGUUUAUAGUGUGGUGACACUUUCUGUUAAUCUCAUUCUCUUUAAUUAUAUAUUUUUUUUAUCUUAGUUUGCUUUAUUUAGUUAUUUUUGAUAUGUUGAUUUAUUGGGAUUGGUUAUAUCCACUUCUUCUAGAAUUUUAAAUGUUGCUAGUUGUCAUCAUUAUGUUAUUUCUAUAAUUUAUUAUUUUUUUAUUUGUUAGGUCAAUUUUUAUUUAGAUGUUGCAUAUUACUUUUUUAUUGUUUUUGUUAGUGUCAUGUCAUUUUUUGUUAGAGAAAGUUAAAAUUGGUCAAUGAAAAAAUCUCUCCGUCGGUUUUUGAGGCCUCUCCAUUUUAAAAGACGGAAAUUUAGUUUAUGUUUAUAUUUUGUUUGUUAAAAAUGGUCGAUAAAGAAAUUACCGUCGAUUUCCAAGGCCUCCCAUGUUAAUAAGACGUAGUUUUUAUUUUUAAGUUAUUAUUUAAUUCAUUUAUUUUUAUUCAUAUUUAUUUAUUACUAACACUUUUACUAAGUAUCUUUAUAGGUACCCCAGAGUCGCUUCCCAUUGAAGUUAUUCCAAUGGAAUUCGAAUAUGUUUAAUUAUGUAUAUUAUUGAUGUUAGGCAAACCUUAGGCUGUUUUGAUAUUAUUCUUUUGUUUUAUUACUUGUGCAUAUCGUAUGUUUGUUAUACUUGUAUAUUAUUUUAUCUCCUCCUCAAUUUGAAAAAAAAUGAAUUCAGUCGGGAAUCACAUUUGUGGAUUUCGAAGGAUGCCUAACACAUUCCCUUCGGAAUCACUUGAACCCCUUACCUAGAAUCUAAUGGUUUCAUAGACAUUUUUAUAUUGGUUUCCUAUUUUUUUCCUAAAAUUAGGUGGCGAGUCCUUUAAAAUUCAUUUUUUCUUAAAAUUCUUUUAAAAUCGAAUUAAUUGAUUAUUUUUUGAGACACCACGACGUUUCUCCUUAUUUGAAUAAAGUAAGGGAUGUAAAUAGAAUGUCGACUCUGCUGGGGAUAUAGAGGUUCUAACCAUUAUGAGUUCAUUUUUUCAAAUUGAGGAGUUAUUCUUUUAUUGUGUUAUUUAUUAUAUCUUGUAUAUUUUGUUGAUUAUUUGUAUAUUAUACUUGUUAUUUAUUCAUUAUUUGUUUAAACUGUAUAUAAACUGUCAUUGCAUUCAUGACAUUUUCGGACAUGUAUGUAUAGUAUAUUAAAGAACGGUUUUGCGAAAUCGCAUCUGGACUUUUUUAUACUCAACCAUUUUCCGGAAUGAUCGGCAAUUUAUUGGUUCGUCAUGCGUCCAAUGGUUGUCGUGAGUACCAGCCUAAGUUGUCCUCUUGGGUUCCCGAUUUUUCAAAAGUCACUCUAAGUCAACUAGCGUAGAGCGAAAUCAAAUCUCGAAUUUAGUGCAUUUUGAACUAGGUCGACCCAACACCCAAGGCAUGUUGGGCCCAUUAGAAGCCCACCUUGAGUCUAAAAUGGCCUCCGGCCUAAAUGGACGAUCAUAAUUGUGUGUUCAAAUUUGAAAGAUGUAUACGUCAUUUGGCAAUUCAUUAUCACUCGGGGUUGGGGGUUUAAUUUAGUAGCUUACUCCAGUCGAAGAAUGAACUUUACAAGCUACCAUUUCAUCCAAAAGGUGUUGGCAUUCGGAAAUGACAAGAAGCUCAAGAGGAAGUACAUUCCACAAAGGAUUAGUUUAGGAUGAUAUCCCUGCGUGAGACUGAUUAUUUGUAUCUUUUUUUUUUUUCUUAUUUUGUAAUUCUAUUUGAUUUAUUCAUAAAAUUUGUACUAAGUAUUUUAGGGCAAUGUUGUCAAAUAGUGUAAUACAUCCUUCAGAUCGAUAGGCCUAUCCUUGGCACAAAAGGGUUACAUAUUUGUAUAGGAUGCGCAAUAAUUAUUUAUAUGUUAUGUGAUAUAAUUGAGUUUGUAUUCAAUCAAAACAGUGCUUAUGUGUUUAAUUAAUUAUUUGUGUGAUAUUUUGCAUUAUCUAUUAUGAACACGAACUAACACUUUUGCCUCUUGAGUUUUUCUUUUUUUUAAACGAGAGGUUGAUUUAUGUCAGAAUCUGGAAGUGAUUGUUUGUCCGAAGUUACAAGGGACAAGAGGACUCGCGAAAUUCAAGUCUUUGUAUUUCACAAUACAUUGAUAUCAAGUCAAAAAGAUAAAUCAGGGGAGUCUUUGAAUAUGAGGUCGCACUCAUUUAUUUUUUAUUAUUUAACACGCUGGCCCUUCUUUCACACAUUUCUCAUAUUUUUGCAGGAAAAUCAUUUUCGACGACAGUCGGGGAUGGUCAUAACAAUGUCUGGUUCUCGUGGAGAAUUGGGAGAAAUCACAGUUCCAAGAAACAUCCAAAAAAGAAUACAACAAUAAGUGGUUAUUGUAAAAAAAAAUGGGAGGUCACAUUCAACAAGCAAUACAAAGGUCAACAAUUAAGAGGAUACAAGGAAUCGCUCCGAGUUUGUCUAAAUUUUAAAAUUAUUUUAUGCCAUAUCUGAACGAACUACGUACACCUGAUUCUUAUCUUGAUGAGAUACGUAGGCAACCCUUCUUGAGUUAGGUAUUCAUUUUUUCAAAAGUGAAAAAAAAUAAAAAAUAGUUUGUGCAUAUUUUCAAAGUCAUAUUUGCACGAACUACGCGUACCUGAUUCUCAUGUCAAUGAGAUACGUAGGCAACCCUUCUUGGGUUCGGUAUUCAUUUUUUCAAAAGUGAAAAAAAAUAAAAAAUAGUUUUUGCAUAUUUUCAAAGUCAUAUUUGCACAAACUACGCGUACUUGAUUCUUAUAUCAAUGAGAUACGUAAGCAACCCUUCUUGGGUUCGGUAUUUAUUUUUUCCAAAAGUAAAAAAAAAAUAGUUUGUACAUAUUUUCAAAGACCUAUCUGCACGAACUACGCGUACCUGAUUCUCAUAUCAAUGAGAUAUGUAGGCAACCCUUCUUGGGUUCGGUAUUUUUUUUUCAAAAGUAAAAAAAAAAAUAGUUUGUGCAUAUUUUCAAAGGCAUAUCUGCACGAACUACGCGAACCUGAUUCUCAUCUUGGUGAGAUACGUAGGCAACCCUUCUUGGGUUCGGUAUUCAUUCUUUUAAAUUAAAAAAAAAGAGUCAAAUACUUUGUGCAUAUUUUCAAGGACAUAUUUGCAUGAACUACGCGCACUUGAUUCUCAUCUCGACGAGAUACGUAGGCAACCCUUCUUGGAUUCGGUAUUCAUUCUUUCAAAAAAAUAUUGUGUAUAUAUUGUAAAAGUCAUGUCUUCAGCUCAAUUGGGACAAUGCAGUUGGGAGCAUGUAAAAAUAUUUGAUAUGAUGAAGAGGGCUGACUUUGUGGUAAACCAUAGAUUCCCGUGGUAUGUCUCAUUUGUACUUUUAUGAUUCUUGAAAAUUCUCUUGCAUGCAUUCAAGAUAAGAAUAAAACCAACCUUAUGGUUUCAUGUGCAUUGUGUGGUGAGCUUUUAGAUCAAAAUUCAAUUGCAUUGCACUGUUGAUCUAGAACUUGGCCUGAAUAUUUUUCGAAGCGAAAUCCUGAGUAAUGUUUGGUUUGGGAAAAGAUUGUAGGCAUUCUUUGACCCAAUUGUGCCUUUCAAAACCUACCAAAUGACAUUAAUCCCUAGUUUUCCCACUUCGAGCCUGGAGCCUGGAGCCUUUUCUUUGGACAACCACAUUUUAGUCAUUACCCUUCUGAGUGCUUAUGUGCACUAUCCCUCUCUUGGCCCAACCUUCUUGAGCGCACCAAAGAUGUGCAAAAUAUAAGAGAAGAUCCGUGUUUGAAGUUGCCAAAGGCAAAAGAUACAAAGUCUCCCAAAGUCAAGGAAGCAAAAGGCGACUUCUAAAAAAAAGGGGGGGGGGGAGAAUUAAAGAAAGACAAAGAGACCCCUACAAGGUCAAUGAAGACGAGAAGGAAAAAAACCUCCAACAAAAGAGGAGAAAACUUCAAAACAAAGGGGUGAAAAAGGAAAAGUUCCAACAAAUAAGAAUUCAAAAGAAGUAAAAAAAAAGGGACAAUAAAGAGUAUCAGACGCCAAAGGUGUAUCAAUCAUCAAAAACACAAAUUGACUGUGAUGCUCAAGAAGGAAUUAAGUCAUUCUUAUCCCAAAUAUAUAUCCUACUCGUCCCUAAGACUACAUUACAAGCCAAUGACAAGCCCUACGUGAUCUUAUUCCAAACGUUCUCACAUUAGUGGAGAUUUAUAUAAGGGCCAAGCAUAUGGUAUCACAGUUGCAUGCAUUGAACAUCCUUGUAAGUGUGAGUGUGAGUGUGAGUGCACUUCAAAAAAUGUCCGCAAAUAAUAUGCUUCAAAUAUGUGUGAAAUAAGACUUUUCUUUUUGUGAGGGCAUGUGAAACCUAAGGAUUGGUACAAUUCAAAAUCUUUGUUUGAAGCAAGAUGAACAAAUCUUGUUGAUCCUUAAGUAUGUUUGAGAUACCACUUGAAGCUGUAGGAAUUACCCUGAAUUCAAUCUCAGUUAGAAAAAGUAAAAAAGGGGGGGGGGGGAUUUACAUGCGAUCCUAACUCAUGAUACCAAUUGUAGUCAAGAUUUGACGGUUUCUUUAUAUUAUUUAUAUUUCAAAAAAAAAAAGGGAGGGGGGGAGGGGUAAGCACCCACUCUUUAAUACUUUCCAAAACAUUUUUUUAAAAUUCUUUCCAUUAAAAUAAAAAAGAUUUUGUCUUUCCCUUUUGGGUUGUUCAUUGUAAAAAAGUGUCAUUAUGUUAAUCCUGUCAGUGUGAGAUACUUAUUUUACUUCAUUGGGUUGUUUGUCCAAAAAAUGUGAUAUAUCUUGUCUUUAGGCUUCGAAUAUUGCGGGAAAUAUUAUUUUCCUAUUUCAUCAUGUUCAUAUUGUGCAUUUUCUACUAAUGAUUUUGUCUCAGAUUCUUUGCGGUAUUCAUCAUCUACAGGAUUGGAACUACAUUUGACCUGAUUCUUGGCUCAAUAGGAUAUGUAGGUGCCAUGAUGGCUCGGUCAUAUACCCAAUGUGAUUUUCUUUUCUCUUUGUAAUAAAAACUGGGACAGAAUUUUUGAGAAUAUCUCAAAAAUUCACAAUAAAGAUGCUUUUCCCAGCAAGUCAAGAUUGGAGAGCAUUGUGAGAUUCGUCAAGAGAUCUAACUGGGACAUAAUGUUUUAGGAAGACCUCAAAAAUUCAAACAAGUAUUGACAAAAGUUCGAUAGUCAACUUCAAAUGAUCUCUGGUAUCGGUUGAAGUUCAAAGUCGACGUCAGAGUCUCCAGCAUUGCCAUAAUGGAGCAAAAUAAGCUCAGGAUGCGAGCCACCGACGCCCCGUACAAAUAUCCAAUAAGACAUGAGUUACAAUGAACACAAAGUGUUCAAGAGCAAAAUGAUGGUUGUUCACUUGUGUCAAAGUGAUUAGGCACUUUGUACACAUUCUCUUUUGAAUCCCGCCUUAAAGUUUCUUUGUCAUGUUGCUAGCUAAAGCAAGAUUGUGUCUACUAACCGUUACUUUUCGAAUACCGGGACAGAUGAAAGCAUCAAAAUGAUGACAUUUUCAAGACACACGAGCCAUUCACCUCGUUACAGUGGACAAUCAUCGAGCCAUCCACCUCGUUAAGUUGGACUAUCAUCAGGCCAUCCACCUUGUUAUAGUGGACAAUCAUCGGGCCAUCCACCUCGUUACAGUUGGACAAUCAUCGAGUCAUCCACCUUGUUACAGUUGGACAAUCACCAAGUCAUCCACCUAAUUACAGUGGACAAUCAUCGAGCCAUCCACCUCGUUACAAUUAGACAAUCAUCGGGCCAUCCACCUCGUUACAAUGGACAAUCAUCGAGCCAUCCACCUCGUUACAGUUGGACAAUCACCGAGUCAUCCACCUCGUUACAGUGUCAAUCAUCGAGCCAUCCACCUCGUUAUAGUUGGACAAUCAUCGGGCCAUCGACCUCGUUACAGUGGACAAUCAUCGGGUCAUCCACCUCGUUACAGUUGGACAAUCAUCGGGCCAUCCAUCUCGUUACAGUUGGACAAUCAUCGCGCCAUCCACCUCGUUAUAGUUGGACAAUCACCGAAUCAUCCACCUCGUUACAGUGGACAAUCAUCGAGCCAUCCACCUCGUUACAAUUGGACAAUCAUCGAGUCAUCCAUCAUUUGCAUUUUUCAUUGCAUUUUCAUUCGUCGAGAAGGCCAUUGCAUUUUCAUUCGCCGAGAAAGUCAUUGCGUUUAAGUUGCAUCUAUUCGGAGGUGAAGGAUGUGCGCCAUAUCUAUUCAACGUUCAAUUCGAAGGAAACUUGCGUUGAAAUAUAUUUGCAUUUAAGUUGCAUCUAUUCGGAGGUGAAGGAUGUGCGCCAUAUCUAUUCAACGUUCAAUUCGAAGGAAACUUGCGUUGAAAUAUAUUUGCAUUUAAGUUGCAUCUAUUCGGAGGUGAAGGAUGUGCACCUUAUCUUUUGAACGUUCAAGUCGAAAGAAACUUGCGUCGAAAGAUAUUUGCAUUAAGUCGCAUUUAUUUGGAGGUGAAGGAUGUGCACCCUAUCUAUUCAACGUUCAAGUUGAAAGAUAUUUGCAUUUAAGUCGCAUCUAUUCGGAGGUGAAUGAUGUGCACCCUAUCUAUUCAACAUUCAAGUAGGUGGAAACUUGCGUUGAAAGAUAUUUGCAUUUAAGUCGCAUCUAUUCGGAGGUGAAAGAUGUGCACCCUAUCUAUUCAACAUUCAAGUCGGUGGAAACUUGCGUUGAAAGACAUUGCAUUUAAGUCGCAUCUAUUCGGAGGUGAAGGAUGUGCAUCCUAUCUAUUUCACGUUCAAGUCGGAGGAAACUUGCAUCGAAAGAUAUUUGCAUUAAGGCGUAUCUAUUCGGAGGUGAAGGAUGUGCACCGUAUCUAUUCCACGUUCAAGUCGGAGGAGACCUGCGUUGAUAGAAUUUUCAUUCGUCCUACCGAUGGACAUACAUUCAAAAUCCUACCGAUGGAUCAUAUUUUUUCAUUCGUUGUACCGAUGGACAUACAUUAAAAAUCCUACCGAUGGAUCAUCAUCUUUCUUCAUUCGUCCUACCGAUGGACAUGCAUUUUUAUCCUACCAAUGGAUCAUCUUCUUUUGUCGUAUCGUAAGAGAUGCUACCUUUUUUCCUGUAAUUUUGUCUCUACUAAUGAGUUUCAUCUUUGUUUUUUCGAGAACAUCCAAGAGGAUGCAUUUUCAAUUGUGCCACAUGUGCGGACUACUUCAACAAGGACGCAACACAACGUUGAACCUCUUGGAGGCAAGUCCAGGAUCGACGUCCACCACAUUCCAACCACACUUUUAUAUAAAGGUCAUGUGUUCGGCCAAAAUCGGGUUUGUCAAUUUUCAUUGUUCAUAAUUUCUUUCAUCAAUCAUAUCCAACGAAAGGGGCAACUGUUGACACCCAAUUUUGGCAUAACAUUUGCAAGAAUCGCAACUUUUAAGUUUUAUUUAUUCAAUAGUUAAAAAUACAUUUUUUAUAAUUUUAAUAAGUUUAUCGAUAUUUCUCCUUAUUUAUCAAAAUUUAGGAUUUUUUAUGAAUUAAUUUUAAUUACAUUAUUUUUUGUCAUAACCGGUUAAAUACGUUCAAAUAUUUGUUCAUUUUGAUUAAAUGGUUAUUUCUGUUAAAUUGCACUUUAAACAUGUCAUUAGUUACGUUCAUUACUUUAUUUUAAUAUUCAUUUUUAUUCAUCACAUUUGCUAAUAUUAAUUUUGAUAUUUUGCACGGUCUAGAAAUUGAUUCAAAUAUAAAUAAGAUUUAUAUACAAAUAUUUUAUUUAACUAGUGGUUUCAGCCCAUGAUCUUAAGAUAAUCGUAUCGUACUAUAGAUAGUUUUCGAUUUUCUAUAUAAACAAUAGCUUAUUCAUUAAGUCAAUGGGGUGGAUAAUAUAUUUAGACUAGGUGGUGAGAAUUUUCAAAAUGAGUGAAACCCUAAGAUAUUUUUCUAUCAUCUUCUCAAAGUUGCCACCACACUCCUUCCUCAUCACCACCCAAACUCCAUUUCCGGCCAGUUUCAACCAGCAAAUGACCACCAAACCACCAGUGCUCACCCCCUUUUCGUUUCCAGCAACAAUCCAGCCACCACCAAAGACCAAAAGUCACCGAAAACAACCAUUAACAACAACCAAACAACCUCGGAGAAACUCCAACCCAACAAACCACCUCCGUUCACCUCUUUUUCCGGCUAAACUCACUCUUGGAGUAGUCAUGAAUAAUGACCAUACAACUCAAUCCAACCCUUCACUUUUCUCCUUUCCAGCAAAAGCAAACCCAUCGCAGCCCCAAAACGCCCAAAAACCCACCAGAUCUCCCCUCAAAUCACCACCUCCAUUCACCAUUUUAUCCGACCUCACAACCAGCGACCAAACAGACCUUUCAACCCACCUUCAAAACAACCAGACCAACCACCAAAUGCCACCAGCCUUUCCUGACGAAAAACAACCAGAAAACAGAAACCAACAACCACACAAACACCUCCAAACAGCCGCCUCAAACCACAAUAUCACCACCAGGCGAGCUUCAAGCUUAGGUGAACUCCAAACGAAACCACCACCAAAGGCAGCAGCUCCCUUCAUCCUUUCCAUCUCCGAACUCCAAGCCCAACCAGACGACCCCGUCAUGAUUCCAACUCCGGCGAGGCCCCAUAAGAAACAAUUUCGACCACACAAAACAACCGGAUCUGGCUGGAAAAGGUCUCCCUCCGGUAACCUUCCUAAAUUUAUAUUUUUACAUAUCUAU